rnacentral:lncRNA from 1 species
UGCCUGCCCCGGGCCAGCCUCCACCUCUGAUGUUUGGACACGGCUGCCCGGACUCGAUUGAGAAAUUGAUUAUUUUUUAGUAACCGUCUGAUCUUUUCCACCUUCAGAGAUGGAGAGAGUUAGAAUUUUGCUGUUUUUCCUAUGUCAUCUGCCAGUCAGGCCUAUCCGUCCCCUGCCUCAUAGGCACAGAUGGAGAGAGGUUGGGUGGGGGCCCGGCAGCCUCCAUUUCCAGCCUUCUGUCCUUCCAGCACAGAAGGUAGCCAGCGGUAGUGCCCAGCCUGCCUGGCCCCCAUACUCCAAGCACCACCACCGGGGCCACUGAGGGACAAGCCUGCACCUGCCUUCAGCUGUUCUCAGUUGUGGACAAGUGACAGCCAUGUCCACUGUCUCCUUACGUGUCAAACCAAAGGGAAGCACAAACUAAGGAAAGCUCACUUAGAGGAUUUUGGAAGAAGUGGACCGCUUCCAUGGCCAGAGCAGGAUGGGAGUCUGCGAUUCAGACUGAGGUGACGUCACCACCAUUCUCCCAUGACCCACUGUCAUUGGGCCACCUGCCUCAGUGGCACCAAAACCGCCUCCCCAAUCUUCUCUGGCUGGCUCUAAUCGGAUGUUCAUUUUCUAUCUAAGAUGAUUUUUUUAUUUUUCCAGAUUCCUAACACCAUGAAAUGAAUCUGUCUUUGAUUUUCUAGCAGCAUACCUGGGAAAUUGGGAACCAGAAUGACUGCCCUGUGCCCACAGGGCACCUGGUCCCUGAGUCCCAGACAAGCAUUCCAUGGCACAGCGCUCCCCUGCUGUCUUUACCCAGUUGUGAUGUGACAGCUCUGUCCUCCUGGGGAGACUGAUUGGGACUGAUGUCCUGGUGGGAGGGUGUCCUGGUGGGACUGAUGUCCUGGUGGGACUGAUGUCCUGGUGGGAGGGUGUCCUGGUGGGACUGAUGUCCUGGUGGGACUGAUGUCCUGGUGGGAGGGUGUCCUUUGGGAGCACCUUUCUUUUUACUCUAACUCUUCCCCCAAGCUCCAAGCUGCUGUCAGUCCAAGCUGUCAGUAUCAAAAUCUCUCCCUUUUUUGAAAUUAAAACCAACGUACCAGC